rnacentral:rRNA from 1 species
AUGACGCACGUCCUAGUUCACCUAUGUGAAGAGAUUAACAUUUUAGGUCCUGUAUUUCUACACAAUAUGUUCCCCUUUGAGAGGUUCAUGGGAGUCUUAAAGAAAUAUGUUCAUAACCGUGCUAGGCUAGAAGGAAGCAUCUCCAAGGGCCAUGAAAAUGAAGAGGUCAUUGAGUUUUGUAUUAACUUUAUGCCUGACCUUAAGCCGAUUGGUGUUCCUGAAUCGCGGCAUAAGGGCAGACUGGAUGGAAAAGGCACGCUAGGAUGGGAACAUAUAAUAUGUAUGGACGGACAUUCUCUCAUUGAAGCACACUAG